AGGUCGACUCAUUCCAAAAGGAACCGUCCUAUGACCUACUAGUUAAACCUGUUCACCGAUUCUGGUCUAUCCACCUUUUCAGACUUCGGGACUUCCGUUCCUUCAUCAACACCAUCUAAGGACCUGAAAAUGGUUAUACAAUAAGCACAACACAAGUCAGAGAACUUAUCUUAGCCUCAAUUACAUCCUGCAAAUUAGUAUCAUUUACAAAUGCCUCAAAUCACAUUAAUCAAUCAAUUCAUAACAUCAAAUCAAAUCAUUGAUCUAGUCGAUUACAUAUCACCACGACCCUUUCUUGGUCGGCUCAUCUCAUACUAUCUAUUAAGUCCACUUAUAUCAGGACUACUCUCUGCUAAGCUGAUAAAUAAAUAGUAUAGCUCGCUUCUAAGAUGGUCAGGUAUACUACUCUCUGCUAAGCUACUAUAUUGUCCAUCGGCUGAUAUAGUAUAUCGACGAUGCUUAAUCUAAGCUGAUAAAUAGUAUACUGCUCUCUACUAAGCUGACAUAUCGCCCGUGAGUUAAUAUAGUAUACUAACGUUGUGACAAAGUAUAUUAAUCUCUGGUAAGCUAACAUAUUGCCCGUAGGCUGAUAUAAUAUACCGGUAUACUGCUCUCUGUUAAGUUGACAUAUCGCCCGUAGACCGAUAUAGUAUACCAUCACAAUCCAUUCAAUAUUUUUAUCAUUCUCGAUAAAAUAGUCGUGUGUGGAUACACGGUUGACCUUAGCUAAAAUACUAUAAUUUCCUUUCCACAAAUCCCACCAUUUUUUGUAGUCCACCAAAAUAUUUUUGGCGCUAUCAACCGACGACCUGCUAUUUUUCCAUUAAUUACCAAAAUUAAUUAGUUUAGAAAAAUAAUCAUAAAAUCACCAUUAAUUCAAUUCAACACAAAUUAACGCUCAGAUAAAUAAACAGACUGCACCACAAUAAUCAACAUAAAAUUUCGAUUGUCGGCAAUCCCAGCCUAAUUUCGAAAAAUAAUUAAUUAAUUAAAUAAUUACAAAAUUUAUUAAAUAAAUGCAAUAAAUCCAAUUUAGGCCCGCAAUGCCUAAUUGGACGCCGAAACAGACCCGGAAAAAUCCCAAGGUUCGUUCAAUAAAUAUUAGAACCUAUUUCCUUGCUAAUUGCUACAACUAACCCUCUAACACGCAUCAAUAAAUCUCUAAUUUAAUUACUUAAUCUAAUUUAUCCACCUAGUCAUACUUAAUUAUAUCUAAUCAACCCCUAAGCAUCAUUAACAUACUAAGUGAGGAUUAGUGAGUUAAACUCACUUGAUUAACAAUCUGUUGGGAUCAAAACGAUGGGGACGCGAGGGCGGCCGAUAAACCCCAAACUGAGAUAUGUUGCUAAAUUGGGCUGGGCUUGAUCUGGGCUUGGGGUUGCGGUUUGGGCUCGGCUUCGCAAGCUUGGGCUCCAAGACUGGGCUGCUGAAAUGUAAUUGAAGAUGGGCUUGAAACUUGGGCUGGACUGCAUAGAACAAUUGUGGACUGGAUUGCUGAAAUUCACGGGCUUUGAUUGCUGAAUUCUUGGGCCGAAGUUGGGCUGAACUACACGUGGAUUGCUGGCGCGAGGAAAACACGAAGAUGUUGGCCUGCGGUUGGUCGAUCGUGGGCUUUGUUGGAUUGAACUGAGCAGAGAGGGAGAGAAGCAGCUUCGGGGGAUGCUGGCAGCAGAGAAACGAAGCAGAGAAAGAGGAAGCAGGCUGGUGUGGUUGGCAGCUGCUUCGGUGGUGGUGGUGGCGUGAGCCUUCGGUGGAAUGGAGCUGCACGAGGGGAUGGCAGCUGGCGGGUCAAAGAUGGCGAAAUUCUUUGGAGUUGUUGACUCGGUAAGCAACGCCACGUGAAGGUGGCAUGAAGUGACAGCCGAG
rnacentral:lncRNA from 1 species